GCUGGAAACAACCCAGAUGUCCCGCAGUAGAAGAAAGAAUACAGAAAAUAUGGUUCGUUUACUCUCUGGAAUUCUUGUCAGCUAUUAAGAACGAGGACAUCCUGAGUUUUGCGGACAAAUGGAUGGAACUAGAAAAUAUCAUCCUGAGUGAGGUGACUCAGACCCAAAAGAACAUGCACGUUCCAGGAAAUCCAACACAUUCCCCUGACCUCCAUGGGAAAUGCAUUAACCUGGUUCGCAAACUUCAUGCAGACAAAGCACUCAUACAUAUAAAAUGCUUUAAAUAUGGAAGACUCUUGGACUCCUGUGAUCACCAGACGAUCAUGGCUGGAUGUGCCUGUUGUAGAAUGAGGACAAGGUGCAGAUGAGCUGCCCCAGUGGAGGCUGCCUGAAGUGGGACAACAGCUGGACAGCUGCUGUGUGAGUCCUAGCGGAAUCCUGAAGCAUCAUAUAGCCACGCCCAGCUAAGAGCAGCAGCACUGCACAGCCACCGUACAGCUCAGACCCACUGAAGUGCAAACACAGCGAAGAGAAGGUGCCAAUGAGGAGAGCAGUGCAGUAUGAUAUGCUGACAUCCGCUAAGCUAUCCAUCUGUAUCAAAACAAAGAGGGUGGGGGUGGGGUGAUGGGCAUAAUGAGUCUCCUGGAGCGGUGUGCACAGAGGACACACCAGCACUUUGAAAAUGGCCCUUUCUUGAAGUAGAAGCUGUUUAGUUUAAGUAUUCAUGUCCACCUACUCUUUUAUAGAAAACAUGGGGAUAUGCUCUCUAGCAUAUCAAACAACUACAAGGCAUAGAGCAAAAGCAUCAAAAUCCAGGCUGGAAAAAUCCUACAGGGCUGGGGAAUGGAGUUGGGCAGUAGAGCUUAUACGUGAGGUCCUGGGUUCAAUCCCCACCACAGAAACAAAGGCAUUAGAAUCAAUAAGAAAUAAAGAAAGGGUGAUGGAGAGAUGACUCGAAUGUUUAUGAGCUUGGCUGCUUUUC